UGGGGAAUCUUCCGCAAUGGGCGAAAGCCUGACGGAGCAACGCCGCGUGAGUGAUGACGGCCUUCGGUUGUAAAGCUCUGUGAUCGGGGACGAACGGUCAGCAGACGAAUACUCUGCUGAAGUGACGGUACCCGAAUAGCAAGCCACGGCUAACUACGUGCCAGCAGCCGCGGUAAUACGUAGGUGGCAAGCGUUGUCCGGAAUUAUUGGGCGUAAAGCGCGCGCAGGCGGCCGUGCAAGUCCAUCUUAAAAGCGUGGGGCUUAACCCCAUGAGGGGAUGGAAACUGCAGGGCUGGAGUGUCGGAGGGGAAAGUGGAAUUCCUAGUGUAGCGGUGAAAUGC
rnacentral:rRNA from 1 species